UUAUGAUUAAGACACAUUUUAAAUGAGAUGAGGUAAUGAUCUGAGAUAGCUUCAGACUGUGGAAAUGAGAC